UGUUGGGUUAAGUCCCGCAACGAGCGCAACCCUUAUCCUAUGUUGCCAGCACGUAAUGGUGGGGACUCGUAGGAGACUGCCGGGGUCAACUCGGAGGAAGGUGGGGAUGACGUCAAGUCGUCAUGCCCCUUAUGCCCAGGGCUGCAAACACGCUACAAUGGCCGGUACAGAGGGCUGCGAUCCCGCGAGGGUAAGCGAAUCCCACAAAGCCGGUCUCAGUUCGGAUUGGAGUCUGCAACUCGACUCCAUGGAGCCGGAGUUGCUAGUAAUCCUGGAUCAGCACGCCAGGGUGAAUACGUUCCCGGGCCUUGUACACACCGCCCGUCACACCACGAAAGCCGGCAACACCCGAAGCCGGUGGCCCAACCUCUUGUAGG
rnacentral:rRNA from 1 species